CUCGUAGGCGGCCAACUAAGUCAGACGUGAAAUCCCCCGGCUUAACCAGGGAACUGCGUCUGAUACUGGAUGGCUUGAGUUUGGGAGAGGGAUGCGGAAUUCCAGGUGUAGCGGUGAAAUGCGUAGAUAUCUGGAGGAACACCGGUGGCGAAGGCGACAUCCUGGACCAACACUGACGCUGAGUGAGCGAAAGCCAGGGGAGCAAACG
rnacentral:rRNA from 1 species